rnacentral:misc_RNA from 1 species
GAACUGCGAUAAGUAAUGUGAAUUGCAGAAUUCAGUGAAUCAUCGAGUCUUUGAACGCAUAUUGCGCCCCCUGGCAUUCCGGGGGGCAUGCCUGUCCGAGCGUCAUUGCUGCCCUUCAAGCCCGGCUUGUGUGUUGGGUCGUCGUCCCCUCCGGGGGACGGGCCCGAAAGGCAGCGGCGGCACCGCGUCCGGUCCUCGAGCGUAUGGGGCUUUGUCACCCGCUCGAUAAGGACCGGCCGGGCGCCAGCCGGCGUCUCCAACCUUUUUUUCUCAGGUUGACCUCGGAUCAGGUAGGGAUACCCGCUGAACUUAAGC